ACCUGAUAAGUAAACUCAUCACGUGGGACUCUCUCUCUCUCUCUCUCUCUGGUCUCCUAGGGACGGACUCUAUAGCCUUUGGUUUUCUGUGUGUGUGUGUGUGUAAUAAACACAAGCAUCAGCAUCAUCUACACAGGAGGGGUCUCUCUAGAGCAACUCAACACAAGGAGGAGGGAGAGAGAGAGAGACAUUUGGGGUGGUGGGGGGAAGAGAACAAGGUUAGAGAGAAAGAGGAACCUGUGCAGGAAAGCUGCAUCGCUCAUAUUUCAGCCGCUGUUCUGGAAAAGGGGAGUUUUUUUUUGCAGACCGUCUUUCACAAUCGUCGCUUCUGUGGACUGGUAUCUUCUUGGCCAAACGUUUAAUUCUGGAGCUUUUUUUCUUGUCCGUCCUGCCAUCGGGAACUUGUACUUUUGCAAACUGUCCUUGAUUUUCGAAAUAAAAAUGCAGAAGUUAAUCUCAGCAAUUUGCAGAUGAGGGAGCAGGUUUUGUAAUCCCAUCAAAACUGAUACUGAAAGCAUCUCGUUGUACCAGCGAUGUCUGCGCGCUGCAAAAAAAUAAAUAAUUUAAAAGUUCGUAAGUUUUUAUUUAAACUUCCAGUUUUCGUUAUUUGAUAAUUUGCCUGGAAGUAGUGCCUCCUUUUUUUUAAUCGUGAUAUUGAAUAUGUGAAUUACACUGGCUUUUCCAUGCUUCCACAUUUCCUUGCGAGCAACUAUUGUCAAACUGACGCCAGUGCUUUUCCUCUGCACUGUCUUCCAUAGAUUGCAGUUUCAAAACUCAAGUUAUGUGGAAGUGGCUUUCUGUAAUACCAACGUUGCAGCAUAAAUACAUAUGGAUUCUAAUUGACUAGUACAAAAUGGAUCCCUUUACUAUUGACAUCUGAGAGUAUCUUUUAACCAGAAACUGUGGGUGAAAUGCAGUCACCUAAGUUGCACUCAACUUUGUGUACAGUUUAAGAUUUAUGAAGUAACACUUGUUGCAUUUAUGUUCCCCCGCCCAAUAUAUACCUCAAAGAGAGAAAAGAAUACUUAUUUACAGUCUUAAAGUGUAAAGACAAUUUAUCUGAUCCAUGCCUCUGUUUCUAGUUUUUGGAUGUAGUUAGCCAUGCUUGUUCAGCCUGUCCUGAAAAAAUAAAACUUCUUUACUAAUUAUCACAAGUAGUUAACCCUUUAUAGUGAUAUUUCUGCAUUGUUGUAUUAGUUUUUUGUUCAUUACAAAGUACUGUAAGUUAAAAAAAACUGAUUCAAUUUUUAAUUGUAAUCAUUUUCUGGGUUUAGGAAAGGUGGCAAUGCCUUAUGAAGUUUAAAAUAUCUUUUAGCAUUCAUGUCUCAUGGAUGGAAAAUGGCAUCAGUGUAAAUCUGUAUAAUGGAAGCUCUACACCAUCUACAAAAUGUACCUUUAAUGAGUUGACUUAUUAAAAUAAUGGCAAAACUUU